rnacentral:lncRNA from 1 species
GGAACAAGCCAGGAUAUAAAUAAAUAAAGCUAGGUGUGGGUCUUCCCUUCACAAGGCGCUGGUAGGCAGACUAAAGACAGGCAACAGCUGAGUGUGCACACAGAACUAAAUAUUGAACGAAAUACGAGUGCCGGAAUAAAAUUCAUUGCCAUGUGCACGGCUUAUGAUUAUACAGAUCUUGGACAUAUCACGGACCUGAACGUCAACCCUACAACACCGGAUAAAACAUCUAAUGUAGCUGGAAUAGACUCUGAAAGGACGUUAGGCAUUAUCUAAAUCAAGUCCCUCAUUUUACAGAUGAGUAAACUGACUCAGUGAAGUAUUUUGCUCAAGGUCGUUCAUCAAAUUAGUAGUUUAACUAACUCAGUGUUUUAGGAAGCAGGGUAGUAGAAAAGCAUGGGAUUCGGAGUCUGAAAUCUUCCUUGGUUUCUGGUCCUUGUAGGCUGUUUUACAAGUGUAUCUUGGGCAAAUCUCUUAACGUGUUGCCAUUUAUUAAGGGCUUACCACGUGGCAAACAAUCCACUUUGCAUGCUGUGUCAAUUACAUGCAGUAUGUCGUGUAGUUAUUACUGUCCCCAUUUUAUGAGGUAGUUUAGGUUUAAAGAUAUUAGAAAUUUACCCGAAGUUACGCAGUUAUAAACAUUGUAGUAAUUUCAAACUCAGGUCUUCGUAACUGCAAAGGCUGCUGUCUUAGGUAUUGCAAUACAUUAGAGCUCCGGAUUCCCUCCCACUCAAAACAGAGACUGAGACUCCAACCAAUUUCCACCAUUCUUGGGAGUCAAACGAGAGAGACUGUGGCAAUGUAUUCUAAGCUGUACAAAGGUAUAAACAUAUUCACUAGAUUUGUAGAAUGAAGAUAUUCCUUCCCUAUACUUUCCACUACAAAAUUCAACCAAAAAGAUGGCUUUCAUACUAAGCUAGCAUAAGAAGGAACUUCACUGUAAUUAUGAUAUUCUAACCAAGAAUAUAUGCAUAUCUAGGCAAUAACCAAAGUGAAUAGAAUAAAAUUUAAUUCCUGAUAGAUUAAAUAGGCAAUAGCAAGGAAUGCUAACGCUCCUCAUAGCGUUCUUGUUGGAAGAAUCAUCUAGGAGGCAUUGGGAUUUCUGGUGCUUUUUAAGCAAUGAGAGAUAUCAGUCCACUGAAUGAGGAAGAGAAUAACGUUUAGUUUGGGACUAAAAGUUCAUCUGGACUACGGAAAACACGUUUGCCUCAAUCAGUGAAGAAGGUAUGCUGAGAGCUGAAAGAAAAGGAAAGCAGCAACAGAGAGCUCAGAAAUUCCCAGACUGUUUUGAUGAUAAGGUCCAAGAACUUGCCAUGUGAUCUAUCACUACUAGACUCCCACAACUGCAUUAGAUUUGUUCAGGAUUUUCAUAUAAUUUUCAUAACUGGCUAAGGGUAACUUGGUCACAAAAAAUGAAACAUUGUUGUAAGAAUAUAUCAAGGAAAGUGGAGCGAAAGGCCAGUAGGAAAACCAAGACUCUCUGGAGAAGUCAACAGUUCUGAAAUAACCCAUCUUGAAGACAUAAACAAUGUGCAUUGAUGGCUAGCCAGACUCUGUCCUGCCACGGUUCUCCUCCUACUCUUCAUUUCUUACCCCAAGGAGUAGUAAACAUGAAUCCUGACCCACCAAUGCAGUCCCAGAACUGAGAAAAGAUUCACUGCAGCUAAACACAUUGGAAAUGGAUGGGGAGAAGGCCUGAUGAAAAUUACUGAGGAAGCCUCUUAGCCUAUGUGCUCUGAGAGUAGUGACACCCAGUAGUCCUUAAGACCGCUUAAAUUAUCCUAAGACAAUGGAUGUGAACAGGCACUUUUCAAAAGAAGACAUACAUGCAGCCAACAAUCAAAUGAAAAAAGCUCUACAUUACCGAUCAUUAGAGAAAUGCAAAUCAAAAC